UUAACAUUUUAUUUUUACGACCAUGGUCCCAAACCUUUUAACUUCCAUUGCAGUCAAAAUCUAUUUGACACAUUUCAUCCACUUAUCACUUAAUCAACCUUGAAAUCAAAUAUUUGACUCCUACAAAUUAAAAGGUAAAAUGGUCGAAUUACAUUUUACUCACUAAAACCUUUAAAAUAAUUAAAUCAAAAAAAGAAGAAGAAAGAACUGUUCAUCUUUUCCAAAAGAACUGUUCAUCUUUUCCACACCCUUCCCCAAAUCCCAAAUCCAAAAAAUGAAAAUCCAACCACCUCGACCACCGCCCUCGAACCGCCUACCGUCGCUACCGCCAUCACCCCGCUCUGAAUACGAGCUUUGCUCUGGAGGAACUUUUAGAAGAGGUUAAUGGGUUGAGUCAUAAUCCUUCGGGCUUUUGUGCUUGCCAUGUCUACUGAAUUUGAAAGCUCCAGCGCCAAAAAAAUAUUUCCUUUCUUCUUCUAAUGCAACACAGAAAAACAGCGAAAUCCUGAAAAUUUGCAGAACAAUUUUUUUGGAUUUUCAGUUUUUGGAUUUGGGGAAGAGUUGGGUUGGGGAUGGGAGAAGAUGGACAAUUCUUC
rnacentral:lncRNA from 1 species